UACGGGGGGGGUAAGCGUUGUUCGGAAUUACUGGGCGUAAAGGGCUCGUAGGCGGCCAACUAAGUCAGACGUGAAAUCCCUCAGCUUAACUGGGGAACUGCGUCUGAUACUGGAUGGCUUGGAUUCGGGAGAGGAAUGCGGAAUUCCAGGUGUAGCGGUGAAAUGCGUAGAUAUCAGGAGGAACACCGGUGGCGAAGGCGGAUCUCUGGGCCGAUACUGACGCUGAGGAGCGAAAGCGUGGGGAGCGAACAGG
rnacentral:rRNA from 1 species